rnacentral:rRNA from 1 species
UACAUGGGGUGCAAACGUUGCUCGGAAUUAUUGGGCGUAAAGCGCGCGUAGGCGGUUACUCAAGUCGGAUGUGAAAGCCCUCGGCUUAACUGAGGAAGUGCACCCGAGACUGAGUAGCUAGAGUACUAAACAGGGUCGCGGAAUUCCCGGUGUAGAGGUGAAAUUCGUAGAUAUCGGGAGGAACACCGGUGGCGAAGGCGGCGACCUGGGUAGAUACUGACGCUGAGGCGCGAAGGCCAGGGGAGCAAACGGG